rnacentral:rRNA from 1 species
UCAAUAAGCGGAGGAAAAGAAACUAACAAGGAUUCCCCUAGUAACUGCGAGUGAAGCGGGAAAAGCUCAAAUUUAAAAUCUGGUGGCUUUGGUCAUCCGAGUUGUAAUUUAGAGAAGCGUCUUCCGCGCUGGACCGUGCACAAGUCUCCUGGAAUGGAGCGUCAUAGAGGGUGAGAAUCCCGUCUUUGGCACGGACGCACCAGGGCUUCUGUGAUGCGCUCUCGAAGAGUCGAGUUGUUUGGGAAUGCAGCUCAAAAUGGGUGGUGAACUCCAUCUAAAGCUAAAUAUUGGCGAGAGACCGAUAGCGAACAAGUACCGUGAGGGAAAGAUGAAAAGCACUUUGGAAAGAGAGUGAAACAGUACGUGAAAUUGUUGAAAGGGAAACGCUUGAAGUCAGUCGCGUCGACCGAGACUCAGCCUUGCCUUGGCUUGGUGUACUUCUCGGCUGACGGGUCAGCAUCAAUUUUGCCCCUCGGAUAAUGGUGAGGGAAAUGUGGCACCUUUGCGGGUGUGUUAUAGUCCUUUGUCGCAUGCGAGGGUUGGGAUUGAGGAACUCAGCACGCGCCUUUUGGCGUCGGGGCUCUGCCCACGAUACGUGCUUAGGAUGUWGGCGUAAUGGCUUUAAACGACCCGUCUUGAAA